rnacentral:rRNA from 1 species
GGAUCCGCACAAGCAGCGGAGCAUGCGGAUUAAUUCGAUGCAACGCGAAGAACCUUACCAAGGCUUGACAUAUAUGGGACAGUUUCUAGAGAUAGUUACCUUCUUCGGACUCAUAUACAGGUGGUGCAUGGUUGUCGUCAGCUCGUGUUGUGAAAUGUUGGGUUAAGUCCCGCAACGAGCGCAACCCUUGUUCUGUGUUACUAACAUUUAGUUGAGGACUCACAGGAGACUGCCGGGGUCAACUCGGAGGAAGGUGGGGAUGACGUCAAAUCAUCAUGCCCCUUACGUCUUGGGCUUCACGCAUGCUACAAUGGCUGGUACAGAGCGUCGCAAUACCCGCAAGGUGGAGCUAAUCGCAAAAAGCCAGUCUCAGUUCGGAUUGGGGUCUGCAACUCGACCCCAUGAAGUUGGAGUUGCUAGUAAUCGUAGAUCAGCAACGCUA